AUUGAACGCUGGCGGCAUGCUUUACACAUGCAAGUCGAACGGUAACAGGCCGCAAGGUGCUGACGAGUGGCGAACGGGUGAGUAAUGCAUCGGAACGUGCCCAGUCGUGGGGGAUAACGCAGCGAAAGCUGCGCUAAUACCGCAUACGAUCUAUGGAUGAAAGCGGGGGACCGUAAGGCCUCGCGCGAUUGGAGCGGCCGAUGUCAGAUUAGGUAGUUGGUGGGGUAAAGGCUCACCAAGCCAACGAUCUGUAGCUGGUCUGAGAGGACGACCAGCCACACUGGGACUGAGACACGGCCCAGACUCCUACGGGAGGCAGCAGUGGGGAAUUUUGGACAAUGGGCGCGAGCCUGAUCCAGCAAUGCCGCGUGCAGGAAGAAGGCCUUCGGGUUGUAAACUGCUUUUGUACGGAACGAAACGGUCCUGGUUAAUACCUGGGGCUAAUGACGGUACCGUAAGAAUAAGCACCGGCUAACUACGUGCCAGCCGCCGCGGUAAAAC
rnacentral:rRNA from 1 species